CCCUUAGAUGUUCUGGGCUGCACGCGCGCUACACUGGUGCGUUCAGCGAGUUUAGCACCUUAACAGAUAUGUUUGGGUAAUCUUCUGAAAACGCACCGUGAUGGGGAUCGAUUAUUGUAAUUAUUAAUCGUCAACGAGGAAUUCCUAGUAAGUGUGAAUCAUCAGUUCGCGCUGAUUACGUCCCUGCCCUUUGUACACACCGCCCGUCGCUGCUACCGAUUGAGUGGUCCGGUGAAUUAUUCGGACCGGUGGACUGUGGGGAAACCCGCGGCCUGCUGAGAAGUCUUGUGAACCUUAUCACUUAGAGGAAGCAGAAGUCGUAACA
rnacentral:rRNA from 1 species